rnacentral:rRNA from 1 species
AGGAAGUAAAAGUCGUAACAAGGUCUCCGUUGGUGAACCAGCGGAGGGAUCAUUACCGAGUUUACAACUCCCAAACCCAAUGUGAACGUUACCAAACUGUUGCCUCGGCGGGAUCUCUGCCCCGGGUGCGUCGCAGCCCCGGACCAAGGCGCCCGCCGGAGGACCAACCAAAACUCUUUUUGUAUACCCCCUCGCGGGUUUUUUAUAAUCUGAGCCUUCUCGGCGCCUCUCGUAGGCGUUUCGAAAAUGAAUCAAAACUUUCAACAACGGAUCUCUUGGUUCUGGCAUCGAUGAAGAACGCAGCGAAAUGCGAUAAGUAAUGUGAAUUGCAGAAUUCAGUGAAUCAUCGAAUCUUUGAACGCACAUUGCGCCCGCCAGUAUUCUGGCGGGCAUGCCUGUCCGAGCGUCAUUUCCACCCUCGAACCCCUCCGGGGGGUCGGCGUUGGGGAUCGGCCCUCCCUUAGCGGGUGGCCGUCUCCGAAAUACAGUGGCGGUCUCGCCGCAGCCUCUCCUGCGCAGUAGUUUGCACACUCGCAUCGGGAGCGCGGCGCGUCCACAGCCGUUAAACACCCAACUUCUGAAAUGUUGACCUCGGAUCAGGUAGGAAUACCCGCUGAACUUAAGCAUA